AACCUAUGUUGAGGACACUUCUGUAGGAGCUCCUUGAACCUCCCCAUGUCUCAAAUAGAGAUUCAAGUUCCAUUCGCAUAAAGGAGGAUAUUUCAUUCCUAAGCUU